AAGAGAAGGCAGUUGCUGCAGCUUCAAAAUCAAGUCUUGGGCUUGAAAAAAAAGCAAGGAUGAGUAUGAGUCUGAUGAUUCUGAUGAGGGAGAAGGUGAAACUGGAGAAUGAGUAGCUGUGGUUGUUCAUGGACGACAGCAUCAAGAAACCUGCAACAUGCAACCUGAUUUUAAGAAAUCUGCCACCUGCAACAUGACUGAACAGUGGUAUCUCUGAGAUAUAAUGUGGACAACGGCAAAGAAUACUAUGCAUACACAACAGAAGAGUCCUGCAACCUGAUUUUAAGUCCAUUUGUAGCAAACAAUCUUGGAAGCCAUUAACUCGUUGAAUUUGAAGCUGAUGUGCAGUUUUAUUUUUAUGUCAGUUUUACUGAUGCAGUUAGUUCCUAAG